rnacentral:rRNA from 1 species
GCGUGAGUGAUGAAGGCCUUCGGGUUGUAAAGCUCUUUUGGCGGGGAAGAUAAUGACGGUACCCGCAGAAUAAGCCCCGGCUAACUUCGUGCCAGCAGCCGCGGUAAGACGAAGGGGGCUAGCGUUGUUCGGAAUUACUGGGCGUAAAGGGCGCGUAGGUGGCCCCGCAAGUCAGGCGUUAAAGACCCAGGCUCAACCUGGGGAGUGCGCUUGAGACUGCAGGGCUUGAGACCGGAAGAGGAGAGUGGAAUUCCCAGUGUAGAGGUGAAAUUCGU